rnacentral:rRNA from 1 species
UACGUAGGGUGCAAGCGUUAAUCGGAAUUACUGGGCGUAAAGCGUGCGCAGGCGGUUUUGUAAGUCUGUCGUGAAAGCCCCGGGCUCAACCUGGGAAUUGCGAUGGAGACUGCAAGGCUUGAAUCUGGCAGAGGGGGGUAGAAUUCCACGUGUAGCAGUGAAAUGCGUAGAGAUGUGGAGGAAUACCGAUGGCGAAGGCAGCCCCCUGGGAUAACACUGACGCUCAUGCACGAAAGCGUACGGGGGAGCAAACAGG